GACGAACGCUGGCGGCGUGCUUAACACAUGCAAGUCGAACGGAAAGGCCAUGCUUUUGUGGGGUGCUCGAGUGGCGAACGGGUGAGUAACACGUGAGUAACCUGCCCUUGACUUUGGGAUAACUUCAGGAAACUGGGGCUAAUACCGGAUAGGAGCUCCUGCUGCAUGGUGGGGGUUGGAAAGUUUCGGCGGUUGGGGAUGGACUCGCGGCUUAUCAGCUUGUUGGUGGGGUAGUGGCUUACCAAGGCUUUGACGGGUAGCCGGCCUGAGAGGGUGACCGGCCACAUUGGGACUGAGAUACGGCCCAGACUCCUACGGGAGGCAGCAGUGGGGAAUAUUGCACAAUGGGCGGAAGCCUGAUGCAGCAACGCCGCGUGCGGGAUGACGGCCUUCGGGUUGUAAACCGCUUUCGCCUGUGACGAAGCGUGAGUGACGGUAAUGGGUAAAGAAGCACCGGCUAACUACGU
rnacentral:rRNA from 1 species